rnacentral:rRNA from 1 species
UACGGAGGGUGCGAGCGUUGUCCGGAAUCACUGGGCGUAAAGGGCUCGUAGGCGGCCAACUAAGUCAGACGUGAAAUCCCUAGGCUCAACCUAGGAACUGCGUCUGAUACUGGAUGGCUUGAAUCCGGGAGAGGGAUGCAGAAUUCCAGGUGUAGCGGUGAAAUGCGUAGAUAUCUGGAGGAAUACCGGUGGCGAAGGCGGCAUCCUGGACCAACACUGACGCUGAGGAGCGAAAGCCAGGGGAGCAAACGGG